CACGGAAGUUAAAGUGUCUCUGUCAACAACCUAUAGAGAAAAAACUUAUAGGAAUAAAUAGACUUGAAGAUUUAAAUCAACCUUUUAUCAGUCAGUUAAACUCAAUUUACACGUAUAUGAAAAUGUAACAAAAAAAUAGGAAGAAAUGAAAACCAUAACCUAAUCUCGCUAAAUUUGAUUGUUUAUUUUUUGGCUUCUGAUAAUUUUUGUGAAUUUUGCACUGUAAAUUGAAUAUAAAUUGUUAUUUUUGA